AUCGAACGCUGGCGGCAGGCCUAACACAUGCAAGUCGAGCGAGCGGCGGACGGGUGAGUAAGGUAUGGGGACUGCCUGACCGAGGGGGCUAACUACUGGAACAGGUGGCUAAUACCGCAUACUAUCGGAUAACCCAUAGGGGUUUAGCUAGUCGGUGGGGUAAAGGCUCACCUAGGCGACGAUCCAUAGCUGGCCUGAGAGGGUGAUCGGCCACACUGGGACUGAGACACGGCCCAGACUCCUACGGAGGCAGCAGUGGGGAAUAUUGCACAAUGGGCGCAAGCCUGAUGCAGCCAUGCCGCGUGUAUGAAGAAGGCCUUAGGGUUGUAAAGUACUGUCAGCGGAGAGGCGUUACCCACAGAAGAAGCACCGGCUAACUCCGUGCCAGCAGCCGCGGUAAUAC
rnacentral:rRNA from 1 species